CAGGGGGUGCAAACGUUGCUCGGAAUUAUUGGGCGUAAAGCGCGCGUAGGCGGCUACUUAAGUCGGAUGUGAAAGCCCUUGGCUCAACUGAGGAAGUGCACCCGAAACUGAGUAGCUGGAGUACGAAAGAGGGUCGCGGAAUUCCCGGUGUAGAGGUGAAAUUCGUAGAUAUCGGGAGGAACACCGGUGGCGAAGGCGGCGACCUGGGUCGAUACUGACGCUGAGGCGCGAAAGCGUGGGGAGCAAACAGGAUUAGAUACCCUGGUAGUCCACGCCGUAAACGAUGAGUGCUAGAUGUUUCUGGUAUUGACCCCGGAGGCGUCGUAGCUAACGCGUUAAGCACUCCGCCUGGGGAGUACGGCCGCAAGGCUA
rnacentral:rRNA from 1 species